GGUGAAAAAAUUUUAUAUGAUAUAUAUCUUUAUUGCCUAUUGAUACGCCAGAGCCAACCAGAGUUGGCUUCUGUCUAGUGUUCCUAGUCAUUUGUGAGAACUUGUUAAAAUAUUGCAAUGUUCUGAAGCAUCUUGCCAUUGACCAUAUGUGUACAACACAACUUUCAGGCUUUGCCAUUAAUUACAGCUAAGUCCUGACUCAUAUUAACACACUGCAUAUUUCCAGUGGGCUGGAACCAAUGACCAUAUUUUGUGUAAUUAUAACUUUGAAGAAUUAGAAUAUAUGCAGCCACUUCAAGGGAUCCAUUAUUCACACUAAUCUGGUAACUGGCUGUCAUCCAGAUGACCCAAUGCCAGGUGAUGUGAACUUGCUUUAACAGUUCCUGGUUUUCCUUCAGAUGAUAUGCUUCUCCUCUGAGAUCUGCUGUGUUACAAUGAUCCAUUUUCUGCUUCCUGGAAUCUUUAAGGAGGCCAUCAGUAUGAUUCUCCUCAACCUGAACAAGUAUUGGCAUGCUGCUGUGCCUAAAUGAUCUGUAGCUCUUUUGGGAAAGAUAUGUCCCGUGUUGUGCUGCCCUGGUUGCCAAGAACUUUCUUCUUGAAUGUUACAAUCAACAUUUUGUAUUCAAUGGUGCCUUUGUGACAUAUAGUGAUGCAAUCCCACUAGCCAGGAACUAGUCAUACAUAAGCCAUCAUCAACAUAAGACUUACUUCAGUCAAGAGACUCCAUUGAAGGGCUUUUUUCAAACCGGUCUUGAUGCAGAGAUUAGGGUGAGGUGAAGGAUAAUCUUCACCUGCCACAGGAGAGCCAAAAUUAAGAGGAAUUGGGAGGAGAGCAGGUGUCUCCAAAAAGCCAGGCUGGGUCAAUAAUUCAAAUGUCUCUAACGUGCCAAGGUCCACAGUUUCGAGACAAAGUGGGUGAACUGGUUGACAAUGAGAAAAUUCAGAGCUUUGUGAAUAUAAAUUAAGAUGCCAAACUACAGUCUGAUCUCUCAGUUCUCAAGAAUUCCCCUCGGGCAGUUGGGCAGAGUUAUUCAAAUUUUCCAGGGCUGUUUCUUGAAAACCUGUAAGAGAAGAAAAGUCACUUACUCCUCUUGGCAUAACUGUUCCCCAGAACAUUUCAGCUUGCCAGAAACACAUCUUUGAAAAUUAAAAUAU
rnacentral:lncRNA from 1 species